rnacentral:rRNA from 1 species
GUGGGGAAUAUUGGGCAAUGGGCGAAAGCCUGACCCAGCAACGCCGCGUGAAGGAAGAAGGUUUUCGGAUCGUAAACUUCUAUCCUUGGUGAAGAUAAUGACGGUAGCCAAGAAGGAAGCCCCGGCUAACUACGUGCCAGCAGCCGCGGUAAUACGUAGGGGGCAAGCGUUGUCCGGAAUGAUUGGGCGUAAAGGGCGCGUAGGCGGCCCGGUAAGUCUGAAGUGAAAGUCCUGCUUUGACGGUUGGAAUUGCUUUGGAUACUGUCGGGCUUGAGUGCAGGAGAGGUAAGCGGAAUUCCCGGUGUAGCGGUGAAAUGCGUAGAGAUCGGGAGGAACACCAGUGGCGAAGGCGGCUUACUGGACUGUAACUGACGCUGAGGCGCGAAAGUGUGGGGAGCAAACAGGAUUAGAAACCCGGGUAGUCC